GGCUCGAUGAUGACAACCGAAUGUCUGAACAGAGGUGAUGAAUAAGAAAAAUCAUACACCAGAGGAUUGAGCUGAGGCCC